GCCUAGGUGGCACAGUGGUUGAGCAUCUGCCUUCAGCUCAGGUCGUGAUCCUGGGAUCCUGGGAUCAAGUCCCAAACUGGGCU
rfam:Canis lupus familiaris chromosome 1, whole genome shotgun sequence.